rnacentral:misc_RNA from 1 species
AGUUAAACAGUACGUGAAAUUGUUGAAAGGGAAACGAUUGAAGCCAGUCGUACCUUCGGGUAAUCAGCCUUUCGGGUGCGAUUAUGUGGAGUGUGAGGAGCUUAAACACCUUCAUGUUUUGCAUAUUCGUACUCUUGGGUGUACUUGCCCGUGUGGUUGGUUAACAUCAAUUUUGGUGGUCAUAAAAUGACUGGGGGAAUGUAGCUUCGAUCUUGUAUUGAAGUGUUAUAGCCUUCGGUAGAUGUGAUGAUCGAGAUUGAGGAUUGCAACGGAUACCCUUUGGGGCUACCUGUCUGAUCUCUGAUCGUUGCUUUGGUGCCGAAAGCUUGCUUACGGUUAUCAAAGUCGAUGGUCAAUAGGUUAGAACGGGUUAAAUUCGUUAAGGAUGUUGACGUAAUGGCUUUAAA